rnacentral:rRNA from 1 species
UACGUAAGGUCCGAGCGUUGUCCGGAAUUAUUGGGCGUAAAGGGCUCGUAGGCGGUUUGUCACGUCGGGAGUGAAAACUCAAGGCUUAACCCUGAGCGUGCUUCCGAUACGGGCUGACUAGAGGGAUGCAGGGGAGAACGGAAUUCCUGGUGUAGCGGUGGAAUGCGCAGAUAUCAGGAGGAACACCGGUGGCGAAGGCGGUUCUCUGGGCGAUUUCCUGACGCUGGAGGAGCGAAAGCGUGGGGAGCGAACGG